rnacentral:lncRNA from 1 species
AUUCUCCCAAGUAAGAAAAAAAGAGCUUAUUUUCUCACAUAUUCCACGACCAAACAGAGUUUAAGACUUUUAGGCUGCGUUUGGUUGGAGGGAUAUCCCAGAACAAGGCGGGAUAUCCCUCCAAACGCAAUGCAUUUUGGAACAACCGGAUUGUUCCCGGAACAACCCGUUAAGCCGGGAACAACCCGGUAAGCUUGUUCUCCCUAAAAGGGAGAACAAGCCGGAACAAGAGAUUUGGGCUUUUUUUUUUUUUUUUUUUUUUUCUGGCCUUUUAAUUUUUUAUACUUUAUUUUAAUUAAUUUCAAAUAAAUUAAAUGAAUGCUCAAAUUUAAUAAAUAAAUAUAUUAAUAUAAAUAUUAUUUUUAUGGUAAUAUAUUUAUACUUAAAUUUUAUUAUAUAAUAUAAAUUAAUUAAAUUUGAUAUAUAUUUUAUUUUAUUAAGUUUUAUCAUUUAUAUAUUAAUAUUUAAUUAUUUUAUUUUAUAUUAAUUAUUAUAUACAUAAAAUUAUUUUUUCAUAUAUUAUAUAUAUAUUUUAACUUGUAUUGAAAUUUAUACUUAAAUUUUUAUGAUAAUAUAUUUAUACUUAAAUUUUAUUAUAUAAUAUAAAUUAAUUAAAUUUGAUAUGUAUUUUAUUUUAUUAAGUUUUAUCAUUUAUAUAUUAAUAUUUAAUUAUUUUAUUUUAUAUUAAGUGUUAUAUACAUAAAAUCAUUUUAUCAUAUAUAUAUAUAUAUAUAUAUAUUAAUUGUAUUGAAAUUUAUACUUAAAUUUUUAUGAUAAUAUAUUUAUACUUAAAUUUUAUUAUAUAAUAUAAAUUAAUUAAAUUUGAUAUAUUUUUUAUUUUAUUAAACUCUAUCAUUUAUACUUUAAUAUUUAAUUAUAUAUAUAUUUUUUAUUCGUAUUAAAAUUUAUACUAAUUAUUAAUUAAAAAUAUAGGGAUAUUGUUAGUAUUAUACUUUAUUCAUUAAUAUAUUAUGAAUAAAUUAUAGAAAAUAAAUUAUUACAUAAAAUAAAUUAUUAUAUAUAAUAAAAUAAUAUAUAUUAUUUUAAAUUAGAUUCUUACAUAAAAUAUUAUAUUAUAAAUUACUAUAUGAAAUAAUUUUAUAAAUAAUUUUAUAUAAAAUAUACUAAUAUAAAUUAAUUAUUUUAUUUUUAAAAAUAUAUUUAGACGUUGUUCUAGACUUUUUAUCCAAACGCUAUUAAGGAUAUCCUCUAGAAUAUCCUUGAAUGCAUCCAAACACAAAUUUACAAUUGUUCUAUCUUAUACCGGAAUAUCCCCUAUUCUCGGGAACAACAAAAGUUGUUCUCCAAAAUUUAGUUCUCCAACUAAACGCAGCCUUAAAGGAACAACCAAGCUUGUUCCCACCCACCCCCU